rnacentral:rRNA from 1 species
AUAUUAUUAAGUGGAGGAAAAGAAACCAAAAGGGAUUCCCCCAGUAGCGGCGAGCGAAAAGGGAUCAGCCCAAAGCCGAAUCCCGCGUCCCUUGGGCGCCGGGAAAUGUGGCGUAUGGGAGGUCGCGUAACGGCGCGUUGAAGGCGGCUCAAGUUUCCAUGAACGGAACUAUUGACCAGAGCGGGUGUGAGUCCCGUACAGUCGCUCUUCUCGCGCGGUGUCAGCCUCCUCCCAGGAGUCGGGUUGCUCGAAAGUGCAGCCCAAAGUGGGUGGUAUGCUCCACCUAAGGCUAAAUAUUCCCGAGAGACCGAUAGCAAAAAAGUACCGUGAGGGAAAGUUGAAAAGRACUYYGAAGAGAGAGUUAAACAGUACGUGAAACCGCUUAGAGGUAAACGGGUGGGCCCUCGAAGUCUGGGUUCUGUAAAUCACUCCAACGAAUACUGUUGGACGUAUUUUCGGUUCUCCAAGGCCGCGACUGGUUGGUCGACCGUCGGCAGGAUUAUAAGGUAGCCUAUUAUUAGGCGAAACACCGUUAUAGCCGAUGGUCGUUGACCGACCAGGUUAGAGAGGAUAUUCCUCAGGCAGGUCCAUCGAGCGACGCUCAUGUGUCGUGGACGUGCCGGGGUCUGCGGUCAGUAGAUCGGGUCCCACCCGACCCGUCUUG